rnacentral:lncRNA from 1 species
GGUUGCUUUUGGGUAACAGCUUACUCUAAUGCCUCAAAGAGAAAAAACGUAAAACCACAGAUUUAAAAGAUUUUUGUCUCUAUACGAAUUCUUAAGCACACUUUUUUAACGCCGCUUUGAGAAGAGAUAAAUUUCCCUUAAUUUUGUGUGGUAUAUUGCUGUGAUAUUAUGACUGAAACAUAUCAUUUGUCAAUUGCAUUAUUUUUUUACAUAUUUUUUUUUAUAGAACUGUACAAUAUUAAAUGGUUUUUUCAAGUUUGCAAUUCAAUUAGGAUCUAUGUCUGCAUAAAGAAUAUCGAAUAGCAAGC